UAUGGUAAGUGCCAGCAGCCGCGGUAAUACGUAGGUGGCAAGCGUUGUCCGGAUUUAUUGGGCGUAAAGCGAGCGCAGGCGGUUUCUUAAGUCUGAUGUGAAAGCCUUCGGCUCAACCGAAGAAGUGCAUCGGAAACUGGGAAACUUGAGUGCAGAAGAGGACAGUGGAACUCCAUGUGUAGCGGUGAAAUGCGUAGAUAUAUGGAAGAACACCAGUGGCGAAGGCGGCUGUCUGGUCUGUAACUGACGCUGAGGCUCGAAAGCAUGGGUAGCAAACAGG
rnacentral:rRNA from 1 species